UACGUAGGUGACCAGCGUUGUCCGGAAUUACUGGGCGUAAAGCGUGCGCAGGCGGUUCGCUAAGACAGAUGUGAAAUCCCCGGGCUUAACCUGGGAACUGCAUUUGUGACUGGCGGGCUAGAGUAUGGCAGAGGGGGGUAGAAUUCCACGUGUAGCAGUGAAAUGCGUAGAGAUGUGGAGGAAUACCGAUGGCGAAGGCAGCCCCCUGGGCCAAUACUGACGCUCAUGCACGAAAGCGUGGGGAGCAAACAGG
rnacentral:rRNA from 1 species